GCGAAACGCCUGGCGGCCGCGCUCAACACAUGCAAGUCCGAAACGGAGCCUGAAAGAAGCCUGCUUUUUUUCACUUAGUUGGCCGAAACGGGUUGAGUCACGCGUUGAGUAACCUGCCCUUGGAGUUGGGGGAACAACAGUUUGGAAAACGACUGCUAAUACCGCAUAAGCCCACGAUUCCGGCAUCGGAAUUGAGGGAAAAGGAUUUAUUCGCUUCAGGAUGGACUCGCGUCCAAUUAGCUAGUUUGGUGAGGUAACGGCCCACCAAGGCGACGAUUGGUAGCCGGACUGAGAGGUUGAACGGCCACAUUGGGACUGAGACACGGCCCAGACUCCUACGGGAGGCAGCAGUGGGGGAUAUUGCACAAUGGGGGAAAACCCUGAUGCAGCGACGCCGCGUGGAGGAAGAAGGUUUUCGGAUUUGUAAACUCCUGUCGUUAGGGACGAUAAUGACGGUACCUAACAAGAAAGCACCGGCUAACUACGUGCCAGCAGCCGCGGUAAAACGUAGGGUGCAAGCGUUGUCCGGAAUUACUGGGUGUAAAGGGAGCGCAGGCGGACCGGCAAGUUGGAAGUGAAAACUAUGGGCUCAACCCAUAAAUUGCUUUCAAAACUGCUGGCCUUGAGUAGUGCAGAGGUAGGUGGAAUUCCCGGUGUAGCGGUGGAAUGCGUAGAUAUCGGGAGGAACACCAGUGGCGAAGGCGACCUACUGGGCACCAACUGACGCUGAGGCUCGAAAGCAUGGGUAGCAAACAGGAUUAGAUACCCUGGUAGUCCAUGCCGUAAACGAUGAUUACAAGGUGUUGGAGGAUUGACCCCUUCAGUGCCGCAGUUAACACAAUAAGUAAUCCACCUGGGGAGUACGACCGCAAGGUUGAAACUCAAAGGAAUUGACGGGGGCCCGCACAAGCAGUGGAGUAUGUGGUUUAAUUCGAAGCAACGCGAAGAACCUUACCAGGUCUUGACAUCCGAUGCAUAGUGCAGAGAUGCAUGAAGUCCUUCGGGACAUCGAGACAGGUGGUGCAUGGUUGUCGUCAGCUCGUGUCGUGAGAUGUUGGGUUAAGUCCCGCAACGAGCGCAACCCUUAUUGCCAGUUACUACGAAAGAGGACUCUGGCGAGACUGCCGUUGACAAAACGGAGGAAGGUGGGGAUGACGUCAAAUCAUCAUGCCCUUUAUGACCUGGGCUACACACGUACUACAAUGGCGUUUAACAAAGAGAAGCAAGACCGCGAGGUGGAGCAAAACUCAAAAACAACGUCUCAGUUCAGAUUGCAGGCUGCAACUCGCCUGCAUGAAGUCGGAAUUGCUAGUAAUCGCGGAUCAGCAUGCCGCGGUGAAUACGUUCCCGGGCCUU
rnacentral:rRNA from 1 species